rnacentral:rRNA from 1 species
GUAGGAUCCGAGCGUUGUCCGGAUUUACUGGGUGUAAAGGGUGCGCAGGCGGACUGGUAAGUCAGUGGUGAAAUCUCGUCGCUUAACGACGAAACUGCCUUUGAUACUAUCAGUCUUGAGUCCGGUAGAGAUCUGUGGAAUUCCGAGUGUAGCAGUGAAAUGUGUAGAUAUUCGGAAGAACACCAGUGGCGAAGGCAGCAGAUUGGGCCGGUACUGACGCUCAUGCACGAAAGCGUGGGGAUCAAACAGGAUUAGAUACCCUGGUAGUCCACGCCCUAAACGAUGUACACUUGAUGUCGGCCUGUAAGGGUCGGUGUCGGAGCUAACGCGUUAAGUGUACCACCUGGGGAGUACGCUCGCAAGGGUG